CUCUAGCAAGCUCUAAAAGCAUAAAGGUUUGGUCCCAGCCUUUUUAUCAGCCCUCCCCAAGUUUACACAUGCAAGUCUCAACACCCCUGUGAGAACGCCCUACUCCCCUUCCCCAGGCCUAGGGGCUGGUAUCAGGCACUAAAGUUAGCCCACCACACCUAGUCUCACCACACCCUCAAGGGCCAUCAGCAGUGAUAAACAUUGUUCAUGAGCGACAGCUCGAUCCAGCCAUGGGGAACAGAGCUGGCCAACUCGGUGCCAGCCGCCGCGGCUAAACCGCAUGAGCUCAAGUUGAUAAACAUCGGCGUUAAGCGUGCUUAAAGAUUCUCUCAAUUAGGGCAGAGCCUACACUAAUCUGUAAAAACUUGCUGUAUGAAAAAACCAAAAACGAAAGUUGCCCUAAUCUACUUGAACCCACGACAGUCGGGACACAAACUGGGAUUAGAUACCCCACUAUGCCCUACCGUAAACAACCUACCCACACCGAACAACGCCCGGGUAUUACGAGCUUUUGCUUAAAACCCAAAGGACUUGACGGUGUCCUAUCCAACUAGAGGAGCCUGUUCUAUAAUCGAUAACCCCCGAUAUACCCAACCCCCUCUUGCCAAUCAGUCUGUAUACCUCCGUCGCAAGCUUACCAUAUGAAUGCUCAUAGUAAGUUCAAGGGUCCACCACCAAUACGUCAGGUCAAGGUGCAGCCCAUGAUGGGGAAAGCAAUGGGCUACAGUUUCUAAUAUAGAACACACGGAAUGCUUCCUGAAACACAAGCCACGAAGGCGGAUUUAGCAGUAAAGAGAAAACAAUGUGUCCUCUUUAACCAGGCCCUAGGACGUGUACACACCGCCCGUCACCCUCUUCAAUAGUCUUCCACGAACAUCAUCAACUCAAGAACUUAGAAGAGGCAAGUCGUAACAUGGUAAGCGUACCGGAAGGUGUGCUUGGAUCUCAAGAUGUAGCUUAACGAAAGCCUCUCGCUUACACCGAGUAGAUAUUUGUGAAACCCAGAUUAUUUUGAGCCCAAAAUUAAGCCUAACCACAUCCAAUGAGCCCCACACUUCUAUAGUAUUAUAUAAAACAUUUUUACAGUUUAGUAGAGGCGAUCAAAAAACUCUUUAGCGCUUUACCCCCAGUACCGCAAGGGAAUAAUGAAAGAGCCUUGAAAUAGCCCUAAAGCAAAACACAGCAGUGAUUACCUCCCGUACCUUUUGCAUCAUGGUUUAGCUAGUCCCCCCAAGCAAAACGAGAUAUCAGUUUGACCCCCCGAAACUAAGCGAGCUACUUCAAGACAGCUGAUAGAGCUAACCCACCUCUGUUGCAAAAGAGUGGGAUGAUCUUUAAGUAGUGGUGAAAAGCCUACCGAGCCUAGAGAUAGCUGGUUGCUCAAGAAAAGAAUUUUAGUUCAGCCCUAAGUUUUUUGUUACUGUAAAAACACCACUAAACUUAAGAGUUAGUCAAAUAGGGCACAGCCUAUUUGACAAAGGGUACAACCUAAGAAAAAGGGUAAAAAAGCUCCAACAGCAAUAAAGUGGGCCUAAAAGCAGCCAUCUUUCAGAAAGCGUUAAAGCUCCGUCCUACGUAAUAAUCUAAUACCAGAACCCGCACUGACCCCUUUACUUCUAUUGAGCGAUUCUGUAAACUACAGAAGACCUUAUGCUAAAACUAGUAACAAGAAACUGCACUUCUCUAAAACACAAGCGUAUGCCAAACUGGACAAACCAUUGGCAAUUAACGCCAGUGAGCCUCAUAUAGUAACCCCACCAGAAAACACUAUAGUUUCUGACGUUAACCUAACACAAGCGUGUUUCUAGAAAGAUUAAAAAAAAGAGAAGGAACUCGGCAAACUUUAACCCCGCCUGUUUACCAAAAACAUCGCCUCUUGUAAUACAUAAGAGGUCCAGCCUGCCCAGUGACACAAUUCAACGGCCGCGGUACUCUAACCGUGCGAAGGUAGCAUAAUCACUUGUCCUCUAAAUAAGGACUAGUAUCAAUGGCAUCACGAGGGUUAUACUGUCUCCCCUUUUUAAUCAGUGAAACUGACUUCCCCGUGAAGAGGCGGGGAUAAGCCUACAAGACGAGAAGACCCCAUGGAGCUUUAAACCCAAAAACACCCCCUUAAGUAAACCCUACAAAUUUAGGGGAGCUGUUUAUUGGUUUUAGGUUGGGGUGACCACGGAGAAAAACCAACCCUCCGCGACGAAUGAAUUUCAUCCUAAUCCCAGGGCCACCGCCCUAAGAAUCAACAGUUUGACGCUAAGUGAUCCAAUUAUUGAUCAACGAACCAAGUUACCCUGGGGAUAACAGCGCAAUCCAUUUCAAGAGCCCCUAUCGACAAAUGGGUUUACGACCUCGAUGUUGGAUCAGGGUAUCCCAGUGGUGCAGCCGCUACUGAAGGUUUGUUUGUUCAACAAUU
rnacentral:ncRNA from 1 species